GUAGGUGGCAAGCGUUGUCCGGAAUUAUUGGGCGUAAAGCGCGCGCAGGCGGUCCUUUAAGUCUGAUGUGAAAGCCCACGGCUCAACCGUGGAGGGUCAUUGGAAACUGGGGGACUUGAGUACAGAAGAGGAAAGCGGAAUUCCAAGUGUAGCGGUGAAAUGCGUAGAGAUUUGGAGGAACACCAGUGGCGAAGGCGGCUUUCUGGUCUGUAACUGACGCUGAGGCGCGAAAGCGUGGGGAGCAAACAGGAUUAGAUACCCUGGUAGUCCACGCCGUAAACGAUGAGUGCUAAGUGUUAGGGGGUUUCCGCCCCUUAGUGCUGCAGCUAACGCAUUAAGUACUCCGCCUGGGGAGUACGGCCGCAAGGCUG
rnacentral:rRNA from 1 species